GAUGAACGCUGGCGGCGUGCCUAAUACAUGCAAGUCGAGCGAAUGGAUUAAGAGCUUGCUCUUAUGAAGUUAGCGGCGGACGGGUGAGUAACACGUGGGUAACCUGCCCAUAAGACUGGGAUAACUCCGGGAAACCGGGGCUAAUACCGGAUAACAUUUUGAACCGCAUGGUUCGAAAUUGAAAGGCGGCUUCGGCUGUCACUUAUGGAUGGACCCGCGUCGCAUUAGCUAGUUGGUGAGGUAACGGCUCACCAAGGCAACGAUGCGUAGCCGACCUGAGGGGGUGGUCGGCCACACUGGGACUGGAACACGGCCCAGACUCCUACGGGAGGCAGCAGUAGGGAAUCUUCCGCAAUGGACGAAAGUCUGACGGAGCAACGCCGCGUGAGUGAUGAAGGCUUUCGGGUCGUAAAACUCUGUUGUUAGGGAAGAACAAGUGCUAGUUGAAUAAGCUGGCACCUUGACGGUACCUAACUAGAAAGCCACGGCUAACUACGUGCCAGCCGCCGCAGUAA
rnacentral:rRNA from 1 species